UACGUAGGGUGCAAGCGUUGUCCGGAAUUACUGGGCGUAAAGGGCGCGUAGGCGGUCUUCUAAGUCUUGUGUGAAAUCCCCGGGCUCAACCCGGGAACUGCGUCCGAUACUGGCAGGCUUGAAUCCGGGAGAGGGAUGCGGAAUUCCAGGUGUAGCGGUGAAAUGCGUAGAUAUCUGGAGGAACACCGGUGGCGAAGGCGGCAUCCUGGACCGGCAUUGACGCUGAGGCGCGAAAGCCAGGGGAGCAAACGGG
rnacentral:rRNA from 1 species